rnacentral:piRNA from 1 species
UAUACACUUGGUGAUCUCGUA